rnacentral:rRNA from 1 species
AGCGAACGCUGGCGGAAUGCUUAACACAUGCAAGUCGCACGGCCGGCAACGGCAGUGGCGGACGGGUGAGUAACGCGUAGGAACGUGUCCUGUUGUGGGGGAUAACCCUGGGAAACUGGGGCUAAUACCGCAUGUGUCCUGAGGGACAAAGCCGCGAGGCGCGAUGGGAGCGGCCUGCGUCCGAUUAGCUUGUUGGUGGGGUAAAGGCCUACCAAGGCGAUGAUCGGUAGCUGGUCUGAGAGGACGAUCAGCCACACUGGGACUGAGACACGGCCCAGACUCCUACGGGAGGCAGCAGUGGGGAAUAUUGGACAAUGGGCGCAAGCCUGAUCCAGCCAUGCCGCGUGAGUGAUGAAGGCCUUAGGGUUGUAAAGCUCUUUUAUCCGGGACGAUAAUGACGGUACCGGAGGAAUAAGCCCCGGCUAACUUCGUGCCAGCCGCCGCCGUAA